UACGAAGGGGGCGAGCGUUGUUCGGAAUUACUGGGCGUAAAGGGCGCGUAGGCGGCGACCCAAGUCAGAUGUGAAAGUCCUGGGCUUAACCUGGGGACUGCAUUUGAUACUGGGUUGCUUGAAUUCGGGAGAGGAUAGCGGAAUUCCCAGUGUAGAGGUGAAAUUCGUAGAUAUUGGGAAGAACACCGGUGGCGAAGGCGGCUUUCUGGCCUGUUCUUGACGCUGAGGCGCGAAAGCUAGGGGAGCGAACGGG
rnacentral:rRNA from 1 species